GGCGAACGCUGGCGGCGUGCCUAACACAUGCAAGUCGAGCGGAGACAAUAGCAAUAUUGUCUUAGCGGCGGACGGGUGAGCAACGCGUGGGCAACCUGCCUUUCACAGGGGGAUAACACAGGGAAACUUGUGCUAAUACCGCAUAACACAAUGAGAUAGCAUUUUCUUGUUGUCAAAGGAGUAAUCCGGUGAUAGAUGGGCCCGCGUCCAAUUAGCUAGUUGGUGGUGUAAUGGACCACCAAGGCGACGAUUGGUAGCCGAACUGAGAGGUUGAUCGGCCACAUUGGGACUGAGACACGGCCCAGACUCCUACGGGAGGCAGCAGUGGGGAAUAUUGCACAAUGGGGGAAACCCUGAUGCAGCAACGCCGCGUGAAGGAUGAAGGUUUUCGGAUUGUAAACUUCUUUAGUCAGGGACGAAUAGAUGACGGUACCUGAAAAAUAAGCCACGGCUAACUACGUGCCAGCAGCCGCGGUAACAC
rnacentral:rRNA from 1 species